UCAUAGCACACAUCUGACAUGUAGGAAGUGUUCAGUGUUUUACCAAUCAUACAUUGCUUUGUCCCCCAAUCAAAUAUCCACAUUGGAAAUGGACACAAAGACCCAGAGUAGGUCACAGGUUUGGCAUGACGCUAGGAGACUGCGUCUCACUGCAAGCACAGUGAAACGAGUCCCCAAACGACACACCACAGACCCCCAAAAGUUUCUCAAUGAGCAUGUGUACCCCACCUUCACCGGGAACACAGCCACGAAAUAUGGCUCUGACAAUGAAGUCAGGGUCAUCACACUCCUUGAGAGCAGAGGGCAUGAUGUGCACAACAAAGGACUUGUGGUGCAUCCUGACCACCCCUGGUUGGCAGCCAGUCCAGAUGGGAUCCUUGAUGGGACAAAACUUCUUGAGAUCAAGUGCCCCUUCAAGAGUCUGAUGUCUCUCGAAGAAUUCCUCACCCGGCCAAACGGUGACAUCAAAAUCUUGGAUGAUGGAAAGUACCUCGUUUUGCCAAAUGGAAGAGCUGGAUACUACCUUCAGACACAGGUGGCUAUGAUGUGCCUUGGUCUACAGAGAUGCACAUUGGUUAUCUGGACACAAAAGGAACAUUUAGAAUUGGAAAUUCCAUUUGACAAAGAUUACACUGACAAACAAGUAGAGCAACUGGAA